rnacentral:tRNA from 1 species
CGGGGGGUAGCGCAGUUUGGCUAGCGCACAUGGUUUGGGACCAUGGGGUCGUGGGUUCAAAUCCCACCUCCCCGACCA